UUUUGUGAACCUUAACACUUAGAGGAAGGAGAAGUCGUAACAAGGUUUCCGUAGGUGAACCUGCGGAAGGAUCAUUCACACGUU
rnacentral:rRNA from 1 species